GGCACUAUAGCCAAGUGGUUACGGCGAUAGAUUCGAAUAUUAGUAGGUGUCAUGCCUGCAAUAUUGAAACAUCUAUUACUCUUUGAGUGCGCAGGUUCAAAUCCUGCUGGUGUCG
rnacentral:tRNA from 1 species